UAUCAACAGCAUGAAAAUGAACUAAUACAACUACCCUUGAAAAUUCCGUAAGCUAAAUGACUGCAUAUAUGAUUUUAUGGACAUGAAAAUAAGGUUGCUUCUGGUUAGUGGCCACAGUAAACAAAAAUCAAGUAAACAAAACAUAUAUUUUAGUAUUGAGAUCAUAUUAAUCGCAGAACUUAUUAACAUAUUAGAUAUACAUGGGAACCAAGAACCACUGGGAUAUGGGAAUAAGAAAAGUCCAGGGCUGACUUCAUGGUUGUACAUUCUGUGGCAUUGCAAAAGGCCUCACACUCAGAAGAACCCUGUGCUUGGCCCAAUGCUCUGCUAUCACUAUCUUGAAAUUCUUAAUGUUUGAAUAAGGAGUCUCUCAGUUUCACUUUUCUCUGGGCCCUGCAAAUUAUGUAGUUAGCCGUAGUUACGUAUUUAAAUUAUUACUUCUCUUUUACCCUCAUUCCCAUCUCCAUUUGGUAUAGUUGAAUUCACAUAAAGGCUUAUAUGAUAUGUUGUAUACCUAACUGACUGUUGUACAUAGUAUCUUAGUGCAUUUUCAAGCAUACCUGGGAGAUUGGUAUAAUUGGCCCCAUUGGAAGGGUGUUGAAUUUACUCACGGUCACAUGAUUAGUAAGGCAACUGGCAUUCCUGUCUACUCUUUCUAUUAUGCCACAAUGAAUGAGACAAAACAUGAAAAGAAAUUUCAGUGCAAAAGUAGGACCUGUAGGAAUACAUUUGAACUAAAUGGAUGAAGAGGGGCAUGCUGGAACCAGUAACACAUAAUUAAUUUAUGUUAAAUUUCUCCAGAUAUGUGCUUGCUUUGUGGUGUGAAAUCUGCAGGUUUUUGCUCAUCAUUGUAUUCCCAGCCCCUAGCAUAAUGGUUAGCAUGUAGAAGAUGCUCAAUAAAUGCUUGUUGAAUGAAGGAUAAUCCUGCCAGGUUCUGCUUCACUCUGUAUUAAUAAUAUGGCCUUCCUUCUUGCAUAUUCAUACGUUUGCUCCUUUUAUUUGAAUCCCUGUCUGUUUAACAGAAUAAUGUUCUUUAGCAAGCAUGAUGACUAAUGAUAUCAGGCAAAAAGUUCCAAGAUCUUAACUGAUGAAUAAACACAAACUUUGCUAAUGACUUUGCUUUUUGUAUAAGACUUUGCUGGCUUAUUAUGUAUUUUAAGCUCUGGGAGAGUCCUGGUUACCAUUUGAAUUCUAUGCUACAUGGAGUGCCUUGGAAAAGGCUUUAAAAGAAAGAACUCCUAUUCUAAGUUGAAAUUUUUAAAUUAGGAGUUCUCUCCCUGCCACACCUAGGAAUGAAUUAGCACACCCUCUCUGUGUCAUUAUCCAUUCAUCCUUACUCUGUCCCCACAGUCACGUGUUAUGAGGGACUUUUGAUUUUUCCUCCUAAAUUGCUCAACACCACCCUUCUUCUCCACGACCCAUUAUUUCUCCAUCUUGGAACUCACAUUUCACCUUCCUGGACAAAUCCAACGGUCUUUCAGCAGGCCUCUCUGCCUCCUUCUAAUAGAGUCAUUGUACAGCAGCCAGAGAAGUCUUUCCAAUACAAGACUCUAAACUCAGCACCCUCUUCUUACAAGGCCCCUGGUCUCUCACUGUCAGCUGCAUAAGUUCAUAUCUAUUGGCAUGCAUUGCAGAACCCUUGCCAUCCUGCUCUCAAAUACCUUUUUAGUUGAUUCCUCUACAUAAGCCCACUCAUGGCAUAACCCAGGCUUUCAGUCUGGUUCUCUGAGAAGCAGACUCAAGUACAGAGUUUGGUGUUCAGGUGAGAUCAACACCUGUGAAAGGAAGGGUAGAGGGAGGAGUUAAACCAUAGUAAUGCAAUACCAGUGGUGGCCUCUGCCUACCCCAGUGGGAGCUCUGGAGAAAAAGAGCUGCUAAGAUUGUCCCUCAGUGGACCCAAAUGUCUGAGCAGUGGUGGGGAGUGGUCACUCCUGGAAUGGUGUGACCAUGGGUAAGAUGGCUCUCUGUAGCUCAGGCCACCCUUAAGGAGCUGACUGCUGGAGAUGCUUCUCUGCAAAUGCUUCUAGCAUUUGGGAAAACAACAUUUUUCCCUCCCAGGAGGGAAUCAGGAGGAGGGCCCAGGAAGCACAUCUCCGUGUUUGCUUCACCUAAUCUCUUUUAUUCUGCGAAGAACUUUUCCUCCUUUUCUGUGGCUUCAUGCCAUUGUACCUGCCUUUUCUUCUGUCUGAAAUGCCCCUUGCCUGCCUCUUUUUCCCUUUGAUCUGAAUACUUUUAGUUUUCCUUUAUGACUGAUGUCAAAUGCUAAAUCCUCUUGAAGCCUCCUGUCACUCACCCAGGUAGAGUUAGUUGCUAUUUCAUGUUUUCAUUCAAUGUACAUUUCAUACAUACAUGCAUCAUAAGCUCUGGAAUAGACACUAAAGAUAUAGGAGGUGCAGUUGUUGCCCUUAUGAUCUCCUAAUGACAUGUGCCCUUUAUUUUGUGCUGUGGCAAUGCUCAGUGCUUCCUUUUAUUUUAGCAUCUGCUACAUUGCCUCUUUAUUCACCCACUCAGUUUUUCAUUUGUUCAUUCACUGAGUAUUAAUCAAACUUUUGCCUUCCGUGUACCCAGUGUUCCACUAAGCCCUAGGAUGCAAUGAUGCCUAGUCAGCUUUGCUGAGGGAUAAAUAUUAAUCAUAUCAAGCCUGCACAAUUCUAACUUGGACAAAGAAUAUGAAGUUUAUGGAGCUAGGAGGUUUUACAAUAGUGCAUUUAGCCUAGUCAGGGAGGUCAGGGGAAGUGGCUGGUAGAAGUGAUUAUUACAAUAUAAUUUGGUGAAGGGAGAGGAAAAGAAGCCUUUCAGGUAGAGAUUGCAGAAUGUGCCCAAACCACAUGGCAGGAGAGCUGAAAGAGAAUUUAAAGAUGAGAAUGAAGUUGGAUGAGGCUGGAGUUCACAGAGUGAAGAGAAUAAUAAAGAACAAUGUGUGAUGAUUGUAAAUGCUCAUGAGAAAGUUUAUGGCUUGGCAUUUAUGCUCAGAGCAGUGGGAAGCCAUUAAAAGGUUUUAAGCAAGAGAUCGAAAGGAUCAGAUUAGAGAGCUGAAAAUAUGCUCCCACUUCAGUGUGGAGAAUAGAUUGGAGGAUGGCAGAGACACCAUGUGGGAGACUGUUAGCUAAUGAAAUGAGGAUAGCUUGAACUAAGGUGGGGGAUGGACAGUGGGAGAUAGAUCUAGAACAAUUUGGGGGGAAAGACAGCAAACCUGGCAAUCUUUGGUGAUUAGUUUGUAUGUCAUUAGGGAUGACGGGAAGGGAAGUGUCAAAGCUGACUUUAGAUUCCCAUGAAUCCCUAGCCCUUCAGGAUUUUAAAUCUGAUGACAAUUAUAAACUUCUUUCUGGAGGCAGACACACACACACAACCAUUUUGCAUAUCAUUUCAGAAGGACAUAAAGAACUUGUAAAGGCCAUUUAUGAGCUCCAGGUGGGAAAGAAAAUCAAAUCUUAUUCCUCCCUGUACCUCUAGAUUCUAUUCUAGAAAAUAACAUGGAAUUUGACAUGCAGUACAUGUUCAUUGAAGUAUUGAAUAAAGGUGACAGGAGAUAGAGGACACUGAGACACUUCUGGUGGUUAAUUUUUUGCUCUUUCAACUGCAAUAUGGAUGUAAGAGUCCUAAUAGAGGUGCUAUACUUGCAUGCCUAUGAACCAACUGCUCAUUAGCUUGCAAGGCAGCAUUAGGUGGGAAAGGCCACAAAUGGACUCAUGAGCCUCCAGGUGGUGAAGAGGAAUAAAUUUCAAAGUAUUAAGGUUCCAAAGACUCAAGAUUUGUCUGCAGCAGAUGUCUCUCCAUAAUGCUGCAUAUUAGAGAGAAUUGCCAUCUGAACCACAGACUCUCUGAGGGGCCUCAGCGAUCACCCGAUCACCUGGUUCAGUCCCCACCAGAGCAGGAAUUCCCCCUGCAAGACCUUGGCAGAUGGUUUGUGUUUCCUCCUGAAGCUGUGCUAAUGAGGCUCCAUUGAACGACUCUGAGGUAAAGUGAAGUUGAUGUGCCUGGGAUCAUGCACAGCUAGUGAAUGGAAGAACCGAGAUUCAAAUCCAUGCAGCUUGGUUCCACAGCCCACACUGUCAGCCACUCAUCAACACUUUUCCAAGGUAUUGGUUUAAGAGUCCUUUCUUUAGUGGUUGUUUUUUCUCUAUGCCCGUUCAUUUAGUCUAUGUAGCUAUAUAUGCCAAACUCUGUACAAGAUCUGGAAAUAACAAAAUGUGUUUUUGUGAGGACUAUGCAUCAGAAAUUAAAGGUGGUUUAUAGCAAAGACUGUGAGCAGGUGCUGAGUGAUGCAUGAGACACAAGGGGGAGUGACUGAGAGUUAUUCUUGCCCAGUGGAAAUCAAUUUCAUUGUGAUUGUGUCCCCCAACUAGGAGGUGUGAUCUAUCAACAUUUGUUGAAAAAAGGAAUUAAUGGCUAGUAUAACUGUUUGCAAGUACUGGGAGUGCAAUAUGGGAAAGACUUUGAAAUAAGUGGUGGUGUUUGUUUUUCCUUCAAUGAUUUGGAGAACUUUCCGAGAGGGUUUAUUUGGAAGGUAUCCUUCAGAGCAGUAGUUUAUAGCAGACUUAAAAUUACAAACCAAAAUAUCAACACAAGGCACUGGGCAAUCUGAAGACUGUGGGGCUGUAAUUAGGUGAUGAGUCAGUGCCUCCCCACUGCACAGUCUGGGGUCAUCAAGUGUUGAGUAUUGGGAUUGGCACACAUCUCUGUACGUCCCUGACAAUUAUGGUCCUAAGCAAAACCUGUUAGAACAACAAGGUAUCAUUUGUCUUUCAGAACUAAUUCUGACAUUGUUCCCCUUGAGGUUGCAUUUGUUUCUAAUUUUAGAAAGUUGUUUAUCCAUUUAUUUAUUUU